rnacentral:rRNA from 1 species
UGGGGAAUAUUGCACAAUGGGCGCAAGCCUGAUGCAGCCAUGCCGCGUGUGUGAAGAAGGCCUUCGGGUUGUAAAGCACUUUCAGCGAGGAGGAAGGUGGUGAGCUUAAUACGCUCAUCAAUUGACGUUACUCGCAGAAGAAGCACCGGCUAACUCCGUGCCAGCAGCCGCGGUAAUACGGAGGGUGCAAGCGUUAAUCGGAAUUACUGGGCGUAAAGCGCACGCAGGCGGUUUGUUAAGUCAGAUGUGAAAUCCCCGGGCUCAACCUGGGAACUGCAUUUGAAACUGGCAAGCUAGAGUCUCGUAGAGGGGGUAGAAUUCCAGGUGUAGCGGUGAAAUGCGUAGAGAUCUGGAGGAAUACCGGUGGCGAAGGCGGCCCCCUGGANGAAGACUGACGCUCAGGUGCGAAAGCGUGGGG